AUUGAACGCUGGCGGAAUGCUUUACACAUGCAAGUCGAACGGCAGCACGGGGGCAACCCUGGUGGCGAGUGGCGAACGGGUGAGUAAUACAUCGGAACGUGCCCGGUCGUGGGGGAUAACGUAGCGAAAGUUACGCUAAUACCGCAUACGAUCUGAGGAUGAAAGCGGGGGACCUUCGGGCCUCGCGCGAUCGGAGCGGCCGAUGUCAGAUUAGGUAGUUGGUGGGGUAAAGGCCUACCAAGCCGACGAUCGGUAGCUGGUCUGAGAGGACGAGCAGCCACACUGGGACUGGAACACGGCCCAGACUCCUACGGGAGGCAGCAGUGGGGAAUUUUGGACAAUGGGCGCAAGCCUGAUCCAGCCAUUCCGCGUGCAGGACGAAGGCCUUCGGGUUGUAAACUGCUUUUGUAUGGAACGAAAAGGCUCUGGCUAAUACCUGGGGCUCAUGACGGUACCGUAAGAAUAAGCACCGGCUAACUACGUG
rnacentral:rRNA from 1 species